rnacentral:rRNA from 1 species
AUUGAACGCUGGCGGCAUGCUUUACACAUGCAAGUCGAACGGUAACAGGCCUUCGGGUGCUGACGAGUGGCGAACGGGUGAGUAAUGCAUCGGAACGUGCCCAAUCGUGGGGGAUAACGUAGCGAAAGUUACGCUAAUACCGCAUAAGCCCUGAGGGGGAAAGUGGGGGACCGCAAGGCCUCGCGCGAUUGGAGCGGCCGAUGUCGGAUUAGCUAGUUGGUAGGGUAAAGGCCUACCAAGGCGACGAUCCGUAGCGGGUCUGAGAGGAUGAUCCGCCACACUGGGACUGAGACACGGCCCAGACUCCUACGGGAGGCAGCAGUGGGGAAUUUUGGACAAUGGGCGAAAGCCUGAUCCAGCCAUGCCGCGUGAGUGAAGAAGGCCUU